AUUGAACGCUGGCGGCAUGCCUUACACAUGCAAGUCGAACGGCAGCAUGGAGAGCUUGCUCUCUGAUGGCGAGUGGCGAACGGGUGAGUAAAACAUCGGAACGUACCGUGUAGUGGGGGAUAACGUAGCGAAAGUUACGCUAAUACCGCAUACGCACUGAGGUGGAAAGCAGGGGAUCGUAAGACCUUGCGCUAUACGAGCGGCCGAUGUCAGAUUAGCUAGUUGGUAGGGUAAAGGCCUACCAAGGCGACGAUCUGUAGCGGGUCUGAGAGGAUGAUCCGCCACACUGGGACUGAGACACGGCCCAGACUCCUACGGGAGGCAGCAGUGGGGAAUUUUGGACAAUGGGGGCAACCCUGAUCCAGCCAUGCCGCGUGAGUGAAGAAGGCCUUCGGGUUGUAAAGCUCUUUCGGCCGGGAAGAAAUCGCACAGGCUAAUACCCUGUGUGGAUGACGGUACCGGCAUAAGAAGCACCGGCUAACUACGUGCCAGCAGCCGCGGUAA
rnacentral:rRNA from 1 species